GAAGUCGGUAGCCGACAUGAACCACCAGAGAACGAUAUUCCGAGCAAAGUCAGACGUUCAUAGAAUCGAUGCAAGUACGCCGUCAUCCAACUUUGGUUCAAUGGUCAGUCUGCGCGGAGAAAGUCCAAGAUUUAGACACAGAGACAAUUUCGAAGAAUUGCACAGCUUGCCAAUUGUAGCCCAUGAACACAAUGGUGAGUCGGUUUCUACUCAGGAGACAGAGGUAUCGCCGAAACUCAUUCGUAAGACUUCUAGGGACAAAAAGGGUUGUGAAAAACAGCGCAAAGUAAGCAGUUCUACCGUGGAUUUGAGAAAGCCUUUGACUGUAGAAACCGAAAUAAAAAAAUCUCCUAGACUUUUGAGGAAAGGUUCUUUAGAAAACAAAACAAAGGUCAAAUCUGGUGUUGAGCGGAGUCAUUCUUUCCAUCAUGCACCAAAAUGUCGCCAAGAAGUGACAAAACCGGGAAACGUAAAUACAACAAAACCCGAUUCAGUCGACAGCCCAAAAUCUACAAAAGAAGACAUUGUAGAAAAACCCCAUAAACGGAAAUCGUCUUUGAAAAAGAAGAAAGACGACUCGGGAACCGUAGCAGAAAAACCAAAGAAAAUUUCUUUUGCCGAUUUAGACGACUCGAUCCCCCAAAGGACUCGGUCACUCAGGGAGAGGAAAACCGCCAUGUCCGGUCGGCCAAGAUCGUCGUCCACCGGAAGUACGUGACUGUCGUACAUGAGGCUAUCGUGUCCAGAAAGAGGUUGUAAGGGAAAAGACCAUUUAAUGUUUAACUAAGCUGCAAUUCCAACCAAAGGACAAUAUAUUAAUAGAACUUUUCUAUUAGCUCAAGAGCCACCGGACACGAUAUCUAUCAAAAGUUUACCGUCUCAAAGCCCAAUAAACAUGGGCCUGUUCCCAUGAAUUAUUUCACGGAUGAUACUUUAUGAAAUAAUUAUCUGUAAUCGGUUUAUAAAUUGCUUCUGACAUUUUAAUGGGUAGUGCCGUGUCAGGCCAAGAGCUUGCCAUUAACAUUUUAUUUUUUUUGAACCUCAGGUUAUCUUAAGCUUAAAGUCAACAAUUUUUGCAAAAGACACACUUAGAUGAAUCAUAUUUUUAAAAUCUCUGAACAAUUUAUGGUCUCUUCUAUCCAUCGAGACCACCCCUGACGUCUUUACUAUAGGUGUACCUACCUGUAAUGCGGUACAUUCUAGUUUCAAUGCAGUAUUGAUAUCUUAGUUGCAUAAAGGUAAAAACAAUAUAUAUAUCUUGAUUAAAAAAA
rnacentral:misc_RNA from 1 species